rnacentral:tRNA from 1 species
AGCGGGGUUGAGCAGCCAGGAGUGCUCGUCGGGCUCAUAACCCGAAGGUCGGUGGUUCAAAUCCACCCCCCGCUA